AUGCCCAGCAAGAGGAAGAAGAACAAGCGUCGCAUGAGGAGGGUGCAAGCCCAGAGGAGAGCACUCGAAGAGCAACAUGCAGCCAAUCCACCAAUCAAAGCCAGCCCAGGGACCGCAGUCAGUGCACCCCCGACAACUACUCCCACAAAAGUGCCUGAACCUGCGUCUCCCCCUUCAGAAAACAAACCACGGGUCAUUCCCAUCACUGUUCCUGUUGUGCAGACUCCCAAAGUGGAACCACAGCCGGCGGUGAAAGAACCUGUUGCCGAGCCAGUCCAGGCCGAGGUGACGACGAAAGAGCCGGAUGUUGAGUUGUUACUGCAGGUUCCUGCAGAAGUGGAAGUUGAGAUCCACCCGGAGGUUGAGGCUGAAGCUCACAUCACUGAAGCACCACUAGUUGGAUGGACGCCACCAGUUGAGUCUGUUACAGAUGAAGCAGGCGUAGGACAGGAGGCUGAACUUGAUGUUCCUGAACCAGAACCGGUAAAUGAGAUCAGACUUCCAGAUGAGGCUCCAGUGGGGGCUCCUGCAGCGACUGAAACAGUGGACGUCGUAUCAAUACCAGAGACUGAACAGACGCAUGACGUCCGUGCACCAGAGGCUGAGAUCCUCUCAGAGGAAGUCACCGAGGAUAAAGUGGAACUGGAGGUGGCCGUCACAGAAGAUGUCUCAGUACCAGAACAUGUGAGGGAACCCAGUGAAGAUCCAGCAGUUGAAGAUCUUAGCAAUCACGUUUCAGCCGAAGCAGAAGCUGCUGCAGAUGUGGCUGAUGGAUCGAUGGUGGCGGCUGUAGCAGAGAGACCUGAACUUGAACAGGAGUCACCGAGCCCUGCAGCUUCGAUUCAGGAGGAGGUGUUGGAAGACGCAGCUGCAGAGGAGGCUCCUGUCCUGUCUGCAGGAAUCCCAGAGCAGGUGAAGGAAGCUGAAGUUAGUGAAACCAAAGAGGUCGGAGCCGGAGUUUGUCUUCAUGACUAUGAGGUUGAUGAUGUCACAGCACGUGCUUGGCCUGCAGAGGGCGCUCUAACAGCAUCAGCUGUCAUCCAGCAGGAGUUUAUCAUCGCUGGAACAGAGUCCAGAGACGUGAGUCCUGCUGCUGCUGCACCUCCAGAGGACGAGGUCUCUAGUAAUUCUGCUGAGCAGACGAGUCUGAGCGCCUCAUCAGAGGAACCAAAGACAGAAGCCUGUGAUGCAACGUGUCUCAUUCAGCUCCCGGUGAAGUCUGUGCAGCUCGGUUCAGUGGAAAUUUCAGUGGAAACAGCUCUGAAUGGACACAUUGUUCCAGAAGUUUCAAUUGAAGGCUAGAGACAAACCACAAAUCUCAGGAGACCUUCGUUUUCUGUGCCCUGUUCUAUUUAGUUAUUUCGGAGGACUCAAAACUUCCCGGGGCGUCAACCAGACCUGUUUCAUUUUUUAAGGCAUCGGACAAAAACGGCCAGGAAAUCGAAGGGAUAUCCAUACUUUGACGUGCCUUUCCUGCCCCGGGUUCCGUUGAAACAUUCAAUCCAGAUGUCACCGUGCAGAGGCGGAGGCUCUCAAGGCAGCAGCGGAGAUGCAUGGAUAGAAACCAGCCGUGGCUCAUUUUAACCACACAGAAAAGCCACACGGGGAAUUUGGGUGUGCUGUGACGCGAAGAUGUUUAAGAGGUCAAACGCUCUUAAGAAAAAGAAAAAGGUGACAUUUUUUUAUCAUGUUUCUAUUUCUGCCUCCAAAUGGCAAACACAGGUUGCAUUUUCUAGGCGCUGCAACAUUUCCGAUCAGUUCUGAUGUUUUAAUGCUUAUUAGAAAAGGAAAUGUCUUCCUCGUUCACUUUUUUCCCUCACUUGGUCUUUUAUAAACCUCCAAACAAGCUCAACCACCUUCCCUUUGUCCCUCACCCUCUCCCUCCUAAGUGCCAACGCUAACACGGGUGUGAGGAUAACAAUCAAAUCAUAAAGUUUCUUCUUUUUAAGUGUUUUUGUAAAGUCGGAGUGAAGCAGAAGCGUUUUGAUGUUAAAGCCGACGAUGCUGAGGGGAGAUGAGCUGACAGGAGGGUGACUGUCGAGCUGUAGGCCGUCUCUGUCUUUGAAAUAAAUCUGUAACUCACCGUGACCGAGGAGUGGGCUCUUCUUUUAUUUUAGUUUGUCUGUUUCAUAAAACUGGUGAAUGAUUAAAAAUGUAUUCCUGUUGAAGAAGUUUUAUAUAAAGAAAAAAAACACACAAAAUAUCGUGUUUUGGGGUAAAAUACAGAUGAAAGUACAGAGACGAUCAUUUAUAAAAUUAUGGAAUGAUCUUCCAUAAUCUGUGCGACUCUCCAGGUCAGUAGAGCUUUUUAAGGCGGCGCUGAAGACCCGUUAUUAUAAUCUGCCUUUUAAAUCUGUGUUAGCAGAUGUUUUGUAUUUUGCUGUUUUAAAUUUUUUUAUUGGGUUCCUAUAUAUUGUUUGUUUUUAUCUUUUUAGCUUAGUCUUGUGCAGCACCUUGGUGACAUGAUAUAUGUCUGUAAGGUGCUUUUAUAAAUAAAGGUGAUGAUGAUGAUGAUAUCAAGUCCUGCAUCGUUUUUCUCAGGAUUACGCGUCGUGAGCGCUCAGACCCAUCAUGCAGGCUCAUUAGUUUUAAAAUCAUGAACAAAAUCAAUCAGGUUGUGUUUGUUUUGCACGCACACACACACACACACACACACACACACACACACACACACACACACACACACACACACACACACACACACAUAUACACGCACGCAGCCCGGCCACAAACAUGUUGCCUUUAGCUUUGAUUACGACACACUGUUACGGCUGGAGCCUUUUUGUGUUGUGAUUUCAUUUUUCUGUGCAUUUUUAUGUUGCAUCUGAGGAGCCUGCCUGCAGACUAUGGCCUGUUGGCUCACCCUUGCUCCUCCCUGCACCAGCUGAGCUGGGUUUUCAUCAGCCGCAAAUUGUUUAAAGGACCAGCUGGAGCUCCUCACCAAGGGGGACAAUAGUGCAGAGCUGCCUUUCCUCUGGUCUGUUGUCUCCCACUUAGAACUUUGAUAUUGUGCUCUUUAGAGUUAUGUUACUGUUUGAACCUGUUUUGAUAAAAGGGGAUUUAGAUCCAUGGUGGUUAGCAAUAAUAAUAGACAUCUUUUCUGAAUUAAGAGAAAAGUAAAUAAAACUUUUGUUAAUUUUCUUUUGUGUCACGCGUUCUCCAUGUUACCCCAGGCCCCCUAGACACCUGGUUGGUGACCUUUGCUUUGGAUGGGUUAUGUAUUUAAUCAUUAAUAUGGAGGACUCCUUCCAAAAUAGACAAAUAAAAAAUGUAAAUAAAGUAAUGCUGCAAAUGGAAAUAAAACAAACAGUUAAUUAAACAAAUCUAAUUAUUUUCAACAUUUCUUUACAUAUUUAUUGAUGAAGAGUUCUUCAUACAUCAACAUUAAAACGGGUUUUGGUGUUAAAAGAAACCCAGAAAGAUUAUUGUCAUAUCUAUACAAACAUUAACUUUCCUUCAUUUUGAAAUCUGAAAGAAAACAAAAUCUAAUUUUCUAAGAUUAAAGGCAAAAAAACAAAAAGAAAGUUAUCAGAACUUUUUUAUUUAUAUAAAAAAGAUUAUACUAUCUGAGAAUAAAGUCCUAAAGUAGUUUGAUGUUUUUUGAGAUUUUAAGAUCUUAAAUCAGCAAGUAACAAAAAACGAAUAAAAAUUAUAUCAGAUUAAAUUUAAAUGACGUUUUCCAGCUGGAGGCUCUGAAAGAUGCUAAUGACUAAAAAACUAAAACCAGCUUUUAUGGCAGCGGCGCUUUGAUGUUAAAAACAGACGAGACAAGAAAUUAGUCUCAGAUCAAAAGAUGUUCUUUAUUUCUUUUUACAUUUAAAUUUACAUUCAUAUUAGUAUGAUGUCAUUUGGUACAGUAAACACUGCUGAUGAGUGGUGUUCACCACCACGACCCACGUCUCAAGCAUCAGUAAUUCACCUCUGACCUCUGACCCCCCACCCCCCCCCCCCCCCGACACACAGCACAAGAAACUUCACUUCCACCUUAAACAGGGGAAAAGUGAAGACGUUAGAGGACUAAACCACAGACAGACUGCAAAAGCACAUUCUAUUCACAUCUGAUGCUUUGGAAUGAAAACAGCAACAAAGGCUCACGGUGACCCACACGUUCCACUUAUAUACAUAUAUUAAAUGAAUUUUCAACUUGUGCCGUUCAUUUUGAUGAAUAUAACCUCAGAUCUUCAACGAAACUUAAGAAUAAAUAAGAAACUAAGUGAUUUGAUUGGUCCGUGAGGAAAAGUCAGGAAAGAGCAAGAAGAAAAUCAGAUGAUGAACAAGCUGGAGAGCAUGAAGCUCACCUACUUCUACACUUCCAUACACACACUCACACAAUCCAGCCUGCAGACUGGAUUCUUCACAAAGCCACCUGAUGGACGAUCAUAUAAUUUACACUGAAGUGAUAUUUUAGGUCAAUAGUGAGAAAACCAGACACUUCUGUAUCCUUUGUGAUGUGAACUGGAAGUGGGCGGAGCUUAAAGGCAGAACAGAACUCUUAACGAUGAUGGAGAUGCUUGGGGAAAAGAAAAGAGCAGUGAUCACUGGGCAGGUGGGUGGCUGUUCCUGCAGACGUCCUGCUACAGCGCCACUGAAACCUGGAUGCUCCUGGUCAGGAACGCCGACCUGCUGCGGUUGAGAGGUUUGGUGUAGAAGAGCGUGCACAGUGUGGAACGAAGAGCACUUCAAUAACAGACCGCCUGACUGGAUUCCUACGGGACUCCCAAAAGGACAUUUCAGGAUGGAGCAGUAAAAGCAGCAGCUCUGGUGGUGCUCAGUAGUGAAACGGCUCAGGAAGGUAGAGGUGGUCCGAGCGCGUGCAGCAGCAGCACUUAGAAGGUGUUUCUUCUUCUGUUGUCCAUCAUCUGGGCGAGCUUUCAUGUUUCCACGCUGAGCGGUUUACACCGCCGAGCCGGUAGACAGCACUAUCUCACCACCAACAUGGAAGAUUCUGUUUUAGUCAUCACCUCGAUCGCCCGUCCUCCUCCCGAUUUAUGCAGCACCACUCAGGCAGUCGCACAGGUAGGCGGUGAGUUCGAGAACAAUCACGAUGUUAGCUUAGAGCCGGUGGGAAUGUUUCAUCACCGCCAGGCAUGGAUGGGGCGGGGGGGAGGUAAAGGAGGAAGAAGGGAGCGGUGGAGAGGACACCUCUCAGAGGCUUAAUGACCCAAUGUGGGCCCAGUCCUGUCCCAUCUAGACCAGUUUAAUCCUCAU
ensembl:lncRNA